UCUUUGACUUUACAAAUUUGGCUCUUUGGCUAUCUGACUCUUCGAUGGCCCGACCCUCCUCUUUCGGCUCUCCAACUCUUCGCUCUACCUCUUCUUCCUCUUCGACUCUUCUAGCAAUUCUUUUGCUGGUUACGGGUUAGUUUUUAUUUUUUUAUAUUUACUCAAUUUAGAUAGUAACUUAUAAUGAUGAGAGUAUUGCUACUGUGUAUGUUAGUAUUUUCUUUAUUUCUGAGGAGGAAGAACUCUUCC
rnacentral:lncRNA from 1 species